ACGCUGAAGGCAUCUAAGCGUGAAGCCCCCCUCAAGAUAAGAUAUCCCAUAGCAUAAGCUAGUAAGACCCCUCGAAGACGACGAGGUAGAUAGGUUAGAGGUGGAAGUGCAGUAAUGUAUGCAGCUGACUAAUACUAAUAGGUCGAGGGCUUGACCUA
rnacentral:rRNA from 1 species